GUACAUAAGUGCUUGCGCACGACAAUAAUUUCAUUACAUUCGAGUGGGUGUAAAAAUCCUCUGCCAGCCGAAGCUAGCAAGAGGCCAAAGGUUCACAGGGGUAUUGGAAUGAAAGCCACCGACGUGCACUUGCAGGAGCCAGCACAGAAGGCAACAGUUUACAAUCAAUAAUGAUCCUUCCGCAGGUUCACCUACGGAAA
rnacentral:misc_RNA from 1 species